rnacentral:rRNA from 1 species
UGAGUAAUGUCUGGGAAACUGCCCGAUGGAGGGGGAUAACUACUGGAAACGGUAGCUAAUACCGCAUAACGUCGCAAGACCAAAGUGGGGGACCUUCGGGCCUCACACCAUCGGAUGUGCCCAGAUGGGAUUAGCCAGUAGGUGGGGUAAUGGCUCACCUAGGCGACGAUCCCUAGCUGGUCUGAGAGGAUGACCAGCCACACUGGAACUGAGACACGGUCCAGACUCCUACGGGAGGCAGCAGUGGGGAAUAUUGCACAAUGGGCGCAAGCCUGAUGCAGCCAUGCCGCGUGUAUGAAGAAGGCCUUCGGGUUGUAAAGUACUUUCAGCGGGGAGGAAGGCGGUGAAGUUAAUAGCUUCACCGAUUGACGUUACCCGCAGAAGAAGCACCGGCUAACUCCGUGCCAGCAGCCGCGGUAAUACGGAGGGUGCAAGCGUUAAUCGGAAUUACUGGGCGUAAAGCGCACGCAGGCGGUCUGUCAAGUCGGAUGUGAAAUCCCCGGG